rnacentral:rRNA from 1 species
UACAUAGGGGGCGAGCGUUAUCCGGAAUUAUUGGGCGUAAAGGGUACGUAGGCGGGCCUGCAAGUCUGAUUUGAAAGCACACGGCUUAACCGUGUGAGGUAAUUAGAAACUACAGGUCUAGAGAGUGGUAGAGGUAAAUGGAAUUCCAAGUGGAGCGGUGAAAUGCGUAGAGAUUUGGAGGAACACCAGUGGCGAAGGCGGUUUACUGGGCCACAUCUGACGCUGAUGUACGAAAGCGUGGGGAGCAAACAGGAUUAGAUACCCUGGAGUCCCUGA